AUCAGAGGCCCUGGCAAGGGUCUUCGGAGCGCCCUCCCCACCACCCGCGGAGGCGCUUCGUGUCCAUACGGCCCAUAAGGCGGUUCGACGGGAUUGCGACUGCAACGAAGAAGUUGUCCCGAGGGACGGAAGCGCAUCACCGCAGUUCUGGCAAUCGCGUCGCACCGCAGCAAGGCAACCACGAGCCGACCUGCAGGGCACACCUUCGCCUGGCCUGCACACCCUUC
rnacentral:ncRNA from 1 species